GCUGUAUUACUGUGAAAUUGUGUGCUAGCUUCAGUUGUUGUUCUGAGACUUAAAGCCCUGUUACUUGCUGACUACCUGACUCCAGAAGAUGCCUAAACAUCUGUCAAAGCAACUGAAUGUUUUUGAGUUCAUGGCAAGCAAAGAAAAAGCCAAAUCUUGAAGACCAAGAAGGCAGGAGUUUGAGAACCAUUGGAGCAACUGGUACUGGUGAAGACCCCAGAACAUGCACACCUGGACUGCAGCUUUGGAUAAAACAGAUUAUCUGCACAAUCUUCCAUCUUAUAUCAACUUCUAUCAACUGAUACCAUUGAAGACUUUCAUUUUGACAUAAUGAUGAUAUAUCAUCUGGGAAAUACCUGGGUCCU
rnacentral:lncRNA from 11 species